rnacentral:misc_RNA from 1 species
AACCAUAGAAACCUGCGGAGUACUGCGGAGGGAUCAUUAUAGUAUAUGGAAUCUCCAUUCUAUAAACCCACUCUGCGUAUCUUGUAACUGUUGCUUCCAUGGGACUUGGUUCCGCCACACCGGCUUCACGGCUGGUGAGCGCCCAUGGAAGGAGAAACAAAACUCUUCUUUGAAAUGUAGUCAGUCUGAACAAGUUUUUAUAAACGUUAAAACUUUCAACAACGGAUCUCAGAUCGGAAG